GACGCAGUGGCCUAAUGAUUGGCGUGCUGGACUCCAGACCGAGCGGUCUGGGUUCGAGCCCUGGCCUGGGUCA